ACAAGCGGAGGAGCAUGUGGUUUAAUUCGAUGAUACGCGAGGAACCUUACCUGGGCUCGAACGUAAGAUGACUGUAGGUGAAAGCUUACAUCUCUUCGGAGCAUUUUACGAGGUGCUGCAUGGUUGUCGUCAGCUCGUGCCGUGAGGUGUCGGGUUAAGUCCCAUAACGAGCGCAACCCUACCUUUAGUUGCCAUCAGGUAAUGCUGGGGACUCUAAAGGAACUGCCUACGCAAGUAGUGAGGAAGCGGGGAUGACGUCAAAUCAGCACGGCCCUUACGUCCAGGGCUACACACGUGCUACAAUGGCCGAUACAGAGGGCAGCUACCUGGUGACAGGAUGCAAAUCUCCAAAGUCGGUCUCAGUUCGGAUCGGAGUCUGCAACCCGACUCCGUGAAGUUGGAUUCGCUAGUAAUCGCGCAUCAGCCAUGGCGCGGUGAACACGUUCCCGGGCCUU
rnacentral:rRNA from 1 species